GGGCAGGUGGCAGAGCGGUCAAUUGCAUCAGACUGUAAAUCUGACGCCUAUAUGGCUACGCAGGUUCAAAUCCUGCCCUGCCCA
rnacentral:tRNA from 1 species